GCGGGGCGUGAGGGCGGAGCUCGCCUGGCUGCUGGGACGGAACCCCCGCUCCGUAAGAGGGCUUACACUGGCGGGUGCAUUCAUCAUGUUACAUAUGGCAGGAUCUCCUUCUUUUGUAAGUGGUCUUUUCCAGUUUUUGGCCGUAUGUGAAACUAUAUGACACACAGCUGUGAUCGUUAUACAGUUUGAAUUCUGCUUUUUACAAUUAUCCUUAACAUUUCCACACACGCUUGAAAUUUUUACUUUUUAGUGGUGGCAAAAUAAAACUUUCAAAAAGGAUGUACUAUAAUAUAAUGAAUUGGUUCCUUAUGCCUGGAUAAGUGACCUUGAAUUCUGCUCUACUGAGCAGCUAAAAUAAUAAACAUGGAACAUAAUACAGAAAUAAAGGGUAUCACAAUGUCUUGACAGCAUUUUUCUGAAAUAUAUUAUUGCAGGCAUUAGUAGUUUUCUUAGAGCACAACUAGAGGAUGGUGUCACAAAAAUAAAUAAAUAAAUAAAUAAAUAAUCAAUCAUCCAGUCAACAGGGUACAUGAAAAGGUGCUCAACAUCACUAACCAUCAGGAAAAUGCAAAAAUCAAAACGACAUUGAGUCAUGCCAGUCAGAACAGCUGUUAUCAAAAAACAAAAAAUAAUAAGUGUUGGCAAGGAUGUGGAGAAAAGGGAAACCUUGUGGUUUGCUGGUGGGAAUAUGAAUUCAUACAGCCACCGUGGAAAACAGGAUGAAGUUUUCUCAAGAAAUUAAAAAUAGAAAUAUCAUAUGGUCCCACAAUUCUACUUCUGGGUAUUCAAAGGAAAAGAAAACACUAACUCAAAAGUUACAAGCAUCUCCAUGUUCACACAGCAUAAUUCAUAAUAGCCAAGGCAAGGAAGCAACCU